rnacentral:tRNA from 1 species
GCCUGGCUGACUUGGUUGGUAGAGUAUGUGACUUUUGAUUUUGGGGUCGUGAGUUCAAACCCCAUGUUGGGCU